rnacentral:lncRNA from 1 species
GGAAUUUAUUUCAAGUUUUAAGUCAUCAGGCACCCACCUAGAGAAUGAGAGAAUUUAUUUCAAGUUUUAAGUCAUCAGGCGCCUACCUGGAGAACGAGGGAAUUUAUUUCAAGUUUUAAGUCAUCAGGCGCCCACCUGGAGAACGAGAGAAUUCAUUUCAAGUGUUAAGUCAACAUCAGGCACCCACCUGGAAAACGAGGGAAUUUAUUUCAAGUUUUAAGUCAUCAGACGCCCACCUGGAGAACGAGGGAAUUCAUUUCAGGUUUUAAGUCAGCAUCAAGCACCCACCUGGAAAACGAGGGAAUUCAUUUCAAGUUUUUAAGUCAGCAGGCGCCCACCUGGAGAAUGGGAAAUUUAUUUCAAGUUUUAAGUAAGCAUUAGGUGCCCACCUGGAGAAUGGGGGAAU